AAACCGUUCAGGGGUAAACCUGAGAAACCCAAAAGAUCGAAUGGGGAGAUUCAUCGUCGACGGCGUUGGCUACCGUUUGUGCGCGAUGCUCCGGGUGGGACCCUGCGGUUCCAUUAGCGAGGGCACGCCACCUUCGGAUCGAACUUUCCUGCGUCGUAGUCGUGCACUUCUCCCCUAGUAGGACGUCGCGACCCGUUGUGUGUCGGUCUACGGCCCGAGCGGGAGACUGUCGCGUCGCUUCGGCGCACGCGGCAGACCCUCGGUCGCCCGGCCGGCUGCACGACGGUACACCAACGGUAUCGGGCCGCAGCCAAUCCAUUCUCGAAUGUGUGUGCGUCCAUCCCGCCGCAAGCUCGGUCAGUUCUUACCCGGAGGUACGGACCCUGUGCCGUCCCCGGGCCUGGCCAGCUGUUAGCAGGCGGUGUCCUCGGACCGGCCAAACCUCGGAUUACCGGUCGGCGACGCUAUUGCUUUGGGUACUCUCAGGACCCGUCUUGAAACACGGACCAAGGAGUCUAACAUGUGCGCGAGUCAUUGGGAUGCACAAACCUAAAGGCGAAAUGAAAGUGAAAGUCGGCCUUCGCGCCGAUCGAGGGAGGAUGGGCCGCGUAACCAUGCGGCCCCGCACUCCCGGGGCGUCUCGUUCUCACUGCGAGAAGAGGCGCACCUAGAGCGUACACGUUGGGACCCGAAAGAUGGUGAACUAUGCCUGGUCAGGACGAAGUCAGGGGAAACCCUGAUGGAGGUCCGUAGCGAUUCUGACGUGCAAAUCGAUCGUCGGAACUGGGUAUAGGGGCGAA
rnacentral:rRNA from 1 species